rnacentral:rRNA from 1 species
UGAGGAAUAUUGGGCAAUGCCCGAAAGGGUGACCCAGCAACGCCGCGUGGAGGAUGAAGGUCGUAAGAUUGUAAACUCCUGUUAGAGGGGAAGAAUAACUAAGUUUGGAGCCUAGUAUGACUGUACCCUCAGAGAAAGCCCCGGCUAACUACGUGCCAGCAGCCGCGGUAAUACGUAGGGGGCAAGCGUUGUCCGGAUUUACUGGGUGUAAAGGGCGCGCAGGCGGAAUGGAAAGUCAGUGGUGAAAUCCUACAGCUUAACUGUAGAACUGCCUUUGAUACUUUCAUUCUUGAGUUCGGGAGAGAGAGACGGAAUUCCAGGUGUAGUGGUGAAAUACGUAGAUAUCUGGAAGAACACCAGUUGCGAAGGCGGUCUCUUGGUCCGAUACUGACGCUGAGGCGCGAAAGCGUGGGGAGCAAACAGGAUUAGAUACCCUAGUAGUCCCUGAGCGGGCUGGCAAGGCGCAU